rnacentral:rRNA from 1 species
CCUACGGGGGGCAGCAGUGGGGAAUAUUGGACAAUGGGGGGAACCCUGAUCCAGCCAUGCCGCGUGUGUGAAGAAGGCCCUCGGGUUUUAAAGCACUUUCAGUGAGGAAGAACGCCUGGUGGUUAAUACCCAUCAGGAAAGACAUCACUCACAGAAGAAGCACCGGCUAACUCCGUGCCAGCAGCCGCGGUAAUACGGAGGGUGCGAGCGUUAAUCGGAAUUACUGGGCGUAAAGCGCGCGUAGGUGGCUUGAUAAGCCGGUUGUGAAAGCCCCGGGCUCAACCUGGGAACGGCAUCCGGAACUGUCAAGCUAGAGUGCAGGAGAGGAAGGUAGAAUUCCCGGUGUAGCGGUGAAAUGCGUAGAGAUCGGGAGGAAUACCAGUGGCGAAGGCGGCCUUCUGGACUGACACUGACACUGAGGUGCGAAAGCGUGGGUAGAAAACAGGAUUAGAUACCCUGGUAGUC